GCCGUGCAAGUCGGCAUGGUCUGAUUUGUUGAUUGUCUUGUGAUUUUGUUUUGUGUAUAUAUUUUAUUUAUUGAAGAAUCAUUUAUGUUAUUGUAUUCUUGUGAUUUAAUUUUUUGUGCUAUAGUUUAUUUGUACCGUGAGGGGUUGAGAUAUGAAUGAGUUUUUAGAAGCUUAUUUUAUUUAUUGUACCUUGUGUAUCAGGGUUCAUUGAAUUUUAUUAUUUAUUUUUAUUUCCCGAUUUUAAAGGAGUUAAUGAUUUAUGUUAGUUACUGUUUUAUUAGUAUUAAUGAUAAGUUAUUGGUAGUGAAAUGUUAAUCGUCUUUAGUGGUUUCUGGUUUUUCAAGAAAUGAAUUUAAUUCAUGUUCCUUAUUUAAAUUUUACUUUACUGUAUUCUUUUUUAUUUGGUGUUAAAAUUAAGGGGGAUUAGCUCCUUAUUUUAUUUUUAUAAUUUUUUGUUUUAUCUAUUUUUGUGGAUUUUAUAGUGAUUUUCAAUUUGAUUAUGUUAAAAUUUUAUUUAUUUAUUUAUUUAUUUUUUAUUAUUUAAUUUGUUUAUUGAAAUGUUUCCUUUGUCUUUUGUUUGGGUAGUAAUUAUUGUGUAAUUAGUAAAUUUUUCUUUUGUGUUGUUUAUUUAUAUGUUAGAUUCUUUUGAGGAAUUCGGCAAAUAUUAUGUCCGCCUGUUUAACAAAAACAUCUUUUCUUGUUAGUUUUUGAAGUAUGACCUGCCCACUGACUUUAAUGUGUUGAAGGGCCGCGGUAUUUUGACCGUGCAAAGGUAGCAUAAUCAUUAGUUCUUUAAUUGUGAUCUGGUAUGAAUGGUUUGACGAGACGUGUGCUGUCUUAAAUUUAUUGAAUAAUUUGUUGAAUUUGGUCUUUAGGUUAAAAUUCUUAAAUGUUUUUAUGGGACGAGAAGACCCUAUAGAGUUUGACACUUGUUUUAUUCGUUAUCUUUGUUUGUUUCUUAUUUUGAGUGAGUUGAGUGUUUUGUUGGGGUGAUGGGAGGAAUUUAUAUAACUCCUCUUUAUUGAUUUAAUAUUUAUGUAUAUCUAUUUUGAUCCAUUUAUUUUGAUUAUAAGAUUAAAUUACCUUAGGGAUAACAGCGUUAUCUUCCCUGAGAGUUCUUAUUGGCGGGAAGGAUUGCGACCUCGAUGUUGGAUUAAGGUGAAUUUUCGGUGCAGGAGUUGAAAUUAUUAGGUCUGUUCGACCUUUAAAAUCUUACAUGAUCUGAGUUCAGACCGGCGUGAGCCAGGUUGGUUUCUAUCUAUAAUAUUUUUUUAUACCUUAGUACGAGAGGACCGGGUAUUUAGAAUAAUUUUAUUUAUUGUGAUUGUUAAUAAUUUAUUUACUAUUUUGGCAGAUAAGUGCAUUAGAUUUAGAAUCUAUG
rnacentral:rRNA from 1 species